rnacentral:sRNA from 1 species
UCAGUACAAGUUAUCUCAACUACAUCUGA